GCGCGGGUGGUGGAAUGGUAGACACUCAGCACUUAAAAUGCUGUGACCAAAAGUCGUGCGGGUUCAAGUCCCGCCCCGCGCACCA
rnacentral:tRNA from 1 species